CUCCUGCGCGGUUCGCGGGGCCGCGCACGCCGGCGGGGGUGGCGGGAGGAGCGCUGCGGCCUCCUGGAGGCGGCACGCCUGCUCAGGGAGCCGCGUACGGCAGCUGCGUCCGGUCGCCAUCUUCCGUCCCCAGGCAGCUGCUCCCGGAGCGGGCGUGGGGUUCGCGGCCCGCCGGACGCUACUGGCCGCGGCUGCAGCGGUGGAAGGCCCCGGGCAGGGCCAGGCGGGCAGAGCGCGGCGCGGCGCGGGCUCGGUCGCCUCCGGCCGCCUCCUGGUCGCGCUGCCCCGGUCCGGGCGGGCGCCGAGACUGGAGACGGAGACCGCUCGGCUGGUCGGCCGGGCGCUCCCCGCUGGGAUAGGCUGUAAAGAUGUUUAGCUUUGAAGGGGAUUUCAAGACGCGGCCCAAGGUGUCCCUCGGCGGCGCGAGUCGGAAGAAGAAAAGCCUUCUCUUUUACAUCGUACUCAGGAAGAAAGAAGAGAGAGAGAGGAAGAAAGGCAAAGACUGAAAAAUGCAGUAAUUAUCCAGUCAUUUAUUCGAGGCUAUAGAGAUAGAAAAGAGCAAGUAAGUUUGUUUGUUUUUAAAACGAGAAAGCAUUACACAGGGCAUGCAACAGUUUAUUUUAAA